rnacentral:rRNA from 1 species
UACAUGUGGGGCAAGCGUUGUUCGGAAUUACUGGGCAUAAAGGGUGCGUAGGUGGUUUGUUAAGUCUGAUGUGAAAGCCCACGGCUCAACCGUGAAGGGUCAUUGGAAACUGGGGAACUUGAGUGCAGAAGAGGAAAGUGGAAUUCCAAGUGUAGCAGUGAAAUGCGUAGAGAUUUGGAGGAACACCAGUGGCGAAGGCGACUUUCUGGUCUGUAACUGACACUGAGGCGCGAAAGCGUGGGGAGCAAACAGG